UACCGUAGGUGGCGGAGCGGUUGUACCGGGAAUUACUGGGUGUAAAGGGCGUGUAGGCGGGAAGCAAGUCAGAUGUGAAAUCCCGGGGCUCAACUCCGGAGUUGCAUCUGAAACUGUUUUUCUUGAGUGCUGGAGAGGAAAGCGGAAUUCCUAGUGUAGCGGUGAAAUGCGUAGAUAUUAGGAGGAACACCAGUGGCGAAGGCGGCUUUCUGGACAGUAACUGACGCUGAGGCGCGAAAGCGUGGGGAGCAAACAGGAUUAGAUACCCGGGUAGUCCCUGA
rnacentral:rRNA from 1 species